UGGGGUAGGAUCGGUAACCUAUUGCAUUUUUACAUAGAGCUGAGCUGUGCAACAUGAUCAGCAAGCCACAAUCUCUUACCAGGCUACUGAUAAAGCGUAUCUUGAAUAAAACUUGAAACCAAUUCUAUGACCUACUUGUAGUAAUUCUAUGAAGCUAAGCCUCCAACACAGAAACCAAACCAAUUUCCAUGAUUUCCUCAGGUAUCCCAUAUCAUCACAACAGCAAUUACCCCAACGCCCAACAACACUGCCAAGAACUUGUGGUGGGGUGUGUCGACUGAAGACUCCUUCUGGGGCCUGUAGCCCUUGGCUAGAAGAUGAUUUAUUGCUACAUAGAUAAAUAUUCCACAAGCUAGUCCCAUUGAUAUGGCAAAGAUCCAGUCUGCCACUGGACCUUGAGUUGUGGCAUCUAUAACAAUCCCAAUAGCCACACCAACUGGACUUGAAAUGGCAAAUGCAAAAGCAUAAGCAACACACGAUAAAAAGGGGCGAUCAGGGAUCAUCCGAAGAAGAGCUAUUCCCAUUGCUAUGGCUGCAAAUAUUUUGUGCAGACAGAUGGUCCAUAAAGCUUU
rnacentral:misc_RNA from 1 species